UUUAUAUCUUGUUGAUUAUAAUUUGAAGAGUAAUUAAAUUAUAUUUGAAAAAUAAUUUGUUAAACUGUGAAGGAAAGAUUAAAUUAAUUAAAAAAAGUAAAGUAAAGAUUUAUUUUUGUACCUUGUGUAUCAGGGAAGAUUAAUAUAAUAUUAAGUACUAUUAAAGAUCUCGAAAUAAAAAUAGCUAAUUUUAUAAGAAAGUUUUUGUAAUAUAAAAAUUUUUAAUAUAGGAUUAGAAGUGAAAUGUUAGUCGAGUUUUAUAAUAUCUAGUUCCCUAUGAAAUAAAUAUAAUUUGGGCUUUAUAGGUAAAAAUAUAAAGAAAAAAAAUAGAAGGGUAAAACUUUUUAUUUAAAAAAAUAACGGAAUAAAAUAAAAUAAAUUUAUUUAGGCUUAAAAGUAGCUAUGUUUAUAAAGUGUUUUAACUAAAAAUAAAAUUAAUGUUAUUUUUAUAAGGUUUUAGUGUGUAUUAGGGAUUUAUUUUAAAUUUUAUAAAAUAAGAUAAAAUAAUUUUAUUAGUAGAAGUGAUUAUAUUUGGAGAAAAAGUAGAAUGAUAAGGGAAAUAAUUUAAUAGUUAGAUAAGAUAGAGGAAUUCGGCAAACAUUUCUUUGCCUGUUUAUCAAAAACAUGUUUGUUUGGAGUUAUAAAGAAUUUAACCUGCCCCCUGAUUAAUUAUUAAAGGGCCGCAGUAUUAUAACUGUGCAAAGGUAGCAUAAUCAUUAGGUUUUUAAUUGAAAUCUCGUAUGAAUGGUUGGACAAAAGAAAAACUCUCUUUAUAUUAAGUUUUGAAUUUAACUUUUAAGUGAAAAGGCUUAAAUGUCCUAAAGGGACGAUAAGACCCUAUAAAACUUUACAUUGUCAUUAAUUUUGAUUGAAUUUAUGAAAUAAGAAUUUUAUUUGGUUAUUUGUUAUGUUGGGGAGAUAUAAGUAAAAUAUUUUUUUAACUGCUUUGAUAGUUAUACAAUUAUAAAUGGUAAGUAGAAGAUCCUUUUUUAAGAUUAAUAGAUUAAGUUACUUUAGGGAUAACAGUGUGAUUUCUUUUGAGAGUUCCUAUCGAAAAAGAAGAUUGCAACCUCGAUGUUGAAUUAAAAUAUCUAUAUAAUGGAGAGGUUAUAUAAGAAGGUCUGUUCGACCUUGAAAUUUUUACAUGAUUUGAGUUCAAACCGGUGUAAGCCAGGUUGGUUUCUAUCUUUUAGAUAAAAGUGGUUAUUUUAGUACGAAAGGAGUAAAUAAUCAAAAUAAUUUUGAAAUUGAGUAGUAUUU
rnacentral:rRNA from 1 species